rnacentral:rRNA from 1 species
UACGGAGGAUGCGAGCGUUAUCCGGAUUUAUUGGGUUUAAAGGGUGCGUAGGCGGGCUUUUAAGUCAGCGGUAAAAAUUCGGGGCUCAACCCCGUCCGGCCGUUGAAACUGGGGGUCUUGAGUGGGCGAGAAGAAGGCGGAAUGCGUGGUGUAGCGGUGAAAUGCAUAGAUAUCACGCAGAACCCCGAUUGCGAAGGCAGCCUUCCGGCGCCCUACUGACGCUGAGGCACGAAAGUGAGGGGAUCGAACAGG